rnacentral:rRNA from 1 species
CCUACGGGAGGCAGCAGUGGGGAAUUUUGGACAAUGGGCGCAAGCCUGAUCCAGCAAUGCCGCGUGCAGGAUGAAGGCCUUCGGGUUGUAAACUGCUUUUAUCAGGGAAGAAACCUCUGGAUUUACUCCGGAGCUGACGGUACCUGAAGAAUAAGCACCGGCUAACUCCGUGCCAGCAGCCGCGGUAAUACGGAGGGUGCGAGCGUUAUCCGGAAUUACUGGGUUUAAAGGGUGCGUAGGCGGCUAUGUAAGUCAGGAGUGAAAGUUUGCGGCUCAACCGUAAAAUUGCUUUUGAUACUGCAUAGCUGGAAUUAGGAUGAGGUCAGCGGAAUGUGGCAUGUAGCGGUGAAAUGCAUAGAUAUGCCAUAGAACACCAAUUGCGAAGGCAGCUGACUAGACCUGGAUUGACGCUGAGGCACGAAAGCGUGGGGAGCGAACAGGAUUAGAUACCCUGGUAGUCCACGCCCUAAACGAUGCUUACUCGACGUAUGGCACUAGAUGUUGUGCGUCCAAGGGAAACCGUUAAGUAAGCCACCUGGGGAGUACGACCGCAAGGUUGAAACUCAAAGGAAUUGACGG